rnacentral:rRNA from 1 species
AGCAGUAGCCGCGGGAACACGGAGGGAGCUAGUGUUGUUCGGAAUUACUGGGCGUAAAGCGCACGUAGGCGGCUUUGUAAGUUAGAGGUGAAAGCCUGGAGCUUAACUCCAGAAUUGCCUUUAAGACUGCAUCGCUUGAAUCCAGGAGAGGUGAGUGGAAUUCCUAGUGUAGAGGCGAAAUUCGUAGAUAUUCGGAGGAACACCAGUGGCGAAGGCGGCUCACUGGACUGGUAUUGACGCUGAGGUGCGAAAGCGUGGGGAGCAAACAGGAUUAGAUACCCGAGUAGUCCCUGUCUCUUAUAA